rnacentral:rRNA from 1 species
GUGCCAGCCGCCGCGGUAAUACGGAGGGCGCAAGCGUUGUCCGGAUUUACUGGGUGUAAAGGGAGCGUAGACGGCAGGGCAAGUCUGAUGUGAAAGGUCGGGGCCCAACCCCGGGACUGCAUUGGAAACUGUCCGGCUGGAGUACAGGAGAGGUAAGUGGAAUUCCUAGUGUAGCGGUGAAAUGCGUAGAUAUUAGGAGGAACACCAGUGGCGAAGGCGGCUUACUGGACUGUAACUGACGUUGAGGCUCGAAAGCGUGGGGAGCAAACAGGAUUAGAUACCCUGGUAGUCCACGCCGUAAACGAUGAUUACUAGGUGUCGGUGGGCAUGGGCCCAUCGGUGCCGCAGCCAACGUUUGUGGGUAAUCCACCUGGGGAGUACUUUCGCAAGAAUGAAACUCAAAGGAUUUGCCGGGGACCCGCACAGGCGGAUAAUCUUGUGUUUUUAUAUUCGAAACAACCCCAACAUC